rnacentral:rRNA from 1 species
GACGUAGGGCGCGAGCGUUGUCCGGAUUUAUUGGGCGUAAAGAGCUCGUAGGCGGCUUGUCGCGUCGGCUGUGAAAACCCGCGGCUCAACUGUGGGCGGGCAGCUGAUACGGGCAGGCUGGAGUUCGGUAGGGGAGACUGGAAUUCCUGGUGUAGCGGUGAAAUGCGCAGAUAUCAUGAGGAAGACCAGUGGCGAAGGCGGGUCUCUGGACAGUUCCUGACACUGAGGCACGAAGGCCAGGGGAGCAAACGGG